UAGACAUUACAUAAAUAUUUUUAAAGGCUUAUGCGACGCGGAGUAUCCUCUAAACUCGAUAAAGUGCGUAUCUCAUGUUUCAAAAAUCACUUAGGAUGUUUUAUCGCUCGACGUUUUCGCUUUUAUUACUCGAUAAAGAGUAGUAUAUUAUUUUCGUAGGUACGCGUUAAGUAGCUUAUUAUGGCGGCCGUGUCAACAGUAACGGAUCGAAAAUACCUAACCAUUGAACUGCAUAUCCGAUAGUAUACUAUUAUAACAUUGUGUUUAUACUUUUUUUCUCUUCGCGGUUUAUUUAUUAGUUUAAAUUUAAAUUUGUAGUUUU